UCGUGCUAGACGGGGAGUUAGCGGUGCCCUGUAGCCCGAAAUCCGCUUAUGCGGGGUUGAAUCCCCCAUGGAGAGUAUUAGUCGGACCGGGGCUUGUCUGUGGUUGGUGCUGAUCGGACACUGCGCAACAAACGGAUACGAACUCCGUCAGGUCCGGGAGGAAGCAGCGGUAAGUAUUGCAGUUUGUGUCGCGGUCACCUCUGAUCAGAGCUACAACGCAGGCGGCUCUUGGAAAAGCUAAGCCCGACGUGGGGUGCACGA
rnacentral:SRP_RNA from 1 species